UUUUGGCAGCGGCACCAGACUGCACGUUGGAAAAAACGUCUCCCCCACCCUCACGGUCCUGCCCCCCUCUAGCGUGGAGCUGUCCAGCAAGAGAACGGCCACGCUGAUGUGCCUGGCCAACAAGGGCUUCCCCUCAGACUGGACGCUGCGCUGGAAAGUGGACGGUAGCAGCAGGAGCUCGGAGGCGAGCGGCGGGGUCCUGGAGAAGGACGGCCUGUACAGCUGGAGCAGCACCCUGACUCUCUCUGUGGACGAGUGGAACAAGGCGGGGUCACUGACCUGUGAGGCCACCCAGGGCUCCCAGGCUCCGCUCACUCACACACUGAGGAGAGAGCAGUGUUCUGAGUAGCACCUCA